GACGAACGCUGGCGGCGUGCUUAACACAUGCAAGUCGAACGGUAAGGCCCUUCGGGGUACACGAGUGGCGAACGGGUGAGUAACACGUGGGUGAUCUGCCCUGCACUUCGGGAUAAGCCUGGGAAACUGGGUCUAAUACCGGAUAGGACCACGGCCUGCAUGGGUGGUGGUGGAAAGCUUUUGCGGGGUGGGAUGGGGCCGCGGCCUAUCAGCUUGUUGGUGGGGUGAUGGCCUACCAAGGCGACGACGGGUAGCCGGCCUGAGAGGGUGACCGGCCACACUGGGACUGAGAUACGGCCCAGACUCCUACGGGAGGCAGCAGUGGGGAAUAUUGCACAAUGGGCGCAAGCCUGAUGCAGCGACGCCGCGUGAGGGAUGACGGCCUUCGGGUUGUAAACCUCUUUCAGCACCGACGAAGCGCAAGUGACGGUAGGUGCAGAAGAAGGACCGGCCAACUACGUGCCAGCAGCCGCCGUAA
rnacentral:rRNA from 1 species